AUUGAACGCUGGCGGCAGGCCUAACACAUGCAAGUCGAACGGUAGCACAGAGAGCUUGCUCUUGGGUGACGAGUGGCGGACGGGUGAGUAAUGUCUGGGAAACUGCCCGAUGGAGGGGGAUAACUACUGGAAACGGUAGCUAAUACCGCAUAACGUCUUCGGACCAAAGUGGGGGACCUUCGGGUCUCACACCAUCGGAUGUGCCCAGAUGGGAUUGGCUAGUAGGUGGGGUAACGGCUCACCUAGGCGACGAUCCCUAGCUGGUCUGAGAGGAGGAGCAGCCACACUGGAACUGAGACACGGUCCAGACUCCUACGGGAGGCAGCAGUGGGGAAUAUUGCACAAUGGGCGCAAGCCUGAUGCAGCCAUGCCGCGUGUAUGAAGAAGGCCUUCGGGUUGUAAAGUACUUUCAGUGGGGAGGAAGGCGAUGGAGUUAAUAGCUUCGUCGAUUGACGUUACCCGCAGAAGAAGCACCGGCUAACUCCGUGCCAGCCGCCGCCGUAA
rnacentral:rRNA from 1 species